ACGCUAGCUACAGGCUUAACACAUGCAAGUCGGGGGGCAUCAGGAAGAAAGCUUGCUUUCUUUGCUGGCGACCGGCGCACGGGUGAGUAACACGUAUCCAACCUGCCCUUUACUCGGGGAUAGCCUUUCGAAAGAAAGAUUAAUACCCGAUGGCAUAAUGAUUCCGCAUGGUUUCAUUAUUAAAGGAUUCCGGUAAAGGAUGGGGAUGCGUUCCAUUAGGUUGUUGGUGAGGUAACGGCCCACCAAGCCUUCGAUGGAUAGGGGUUCUGAGAGGAAGGUCCCCCACAUUGGAACUGAGACACGGUCCAAACUCCUACGGGAGGCAGCAGUGAGGAAUAUUGGUCAAUGGGCGCUAGCCUGAACCAGCCAAGUAGCGUGAAGGAUGAAGGCUCUAUGGGUCGUAAACUUCUUUUAUAUAAGAAUAAAGUGCAGUAUGUAUACUGUUUUGUAUGUAUUAUAUGAAUAAGGAUCGGCUAACUCCGUGCCAGCAGCCGCGGUAAUACGGAGGAUCCGAGCGUUAUCCGGAUUUAUUGGGUUUAAAGGGAGCGUAGGUGGACUGGUAAGUCAGUUGUGAAAGUUUGCGGCUCAACCGUAAAAUUGCAGUUGAUACUGUCAGUCUUGAGUACAGUAGAGGUGGGCGGAAUUCGUGGUGUAGCGGUGAAAUGCUUAGAUAUCACGAAGAACUCCGAUUGCGAAGGCAGCUCACUGGACUGCAACUGACACUGAUGCUCGAAAGUGUGGGUAUCAAACAGGAUUAGAUACCCUGGUAGUCCACACAGUAAACGAUGAAUACUCGCUGUUUGCGAUAUACAGUAAGCGGCCAAGCGAAAGCAUUAAGUAUUCCACCUGGGGAGUACGCCGGCAACGGUGAAACUCAAAGGAAUUGACGGGGGCCCGCACAAGCGGAGGAACAUGUGGUUUAAUUCGAUGAUACGCGAGGAACCUUACCCGGGCUUAAAUUGCAGUGGAAUGAUGUGGAAACAUGUCAGUGAGCAAUCACCGCUGUGAAGGUGCUGCAUGGUUGUCGUCAGCUCGUGCCGUGAGGUGUCGGCUUAAGUGCCAUAACGAGCGCAACCCUUAUCUUUAGUUACUAACAGGUUAUGCUGAGGACUCUAGAGAGACUGCCGUCGUAAGAUGUGAGGAAGGUGGGGAUGACGUCAAAUCAGCACGGCCCUUACGUCCGGGGCUACACACGUGUUACAAUGGGGGGUACAGAAGGCAGCUAGCGGGUGACCGUAUGCUAAUCCCAAAAGCCUCUCUCAGUUCGGAUCGAAGUCUGCAACCCGACUUCGUGAAGCUGGAUUCGCUAGUAAUCGCGCAUCAGCCACGGCGCGGUGAAUACGUUCCCGGGCCUUGUACACACCGCCCGUCAAGCCAUGGGAGCCGGGGGUACCUGAAGUACGUAACCGCAAGGAUCGUCCUAGGGUAAAACUGGUGACUGGGGCUAA
rnacentral:rRNA from 1 species